UACGGGGGGGGCAAGCGUUGUUCGGAAUUACUGGGCGUAAAGGGCGCGUAGGCGGUUGGAUAAGUCAGCUGUGAAAACCACGGGCUUAACUCGUGGCCUGCAGUUGAGACUGUCUGGCUUGAGUGUGGGAGAGGAGAGUGGAAUUCCUGGUGUAGCGGUGAAAUGCGUAGAUAUCAGGAGGAACACCCGUGGCGAAGGCGGCUCACUGGCCCGGUACUGACGCUGAGGUGCGAAAGCGUGGGGAGCAAACAGG
rnacentral:rRNA from 1 species